rnacentral:hammerhead_ribozyme from 1 species
GCACUGUUGAGGAGUCCCACAAUGGGACGAAACGGCUUUCCAGUGC